UACGUAGGGUGCAAGCGUUGUCCGGAAUUAUUGGGCGUAAAGAGCUCGUAGGCGGUUUGUCGCGUCGAAUGUGAAAACCCGGGGCUCAACCCCGGGCCUGCAUUCGAUACGGGCAGACUAGAGUUCGGCAGGGGAGACUGGAAUUCCUGGUGUAGCGGUGAAAUGCGCAGAUAUCAGGAGGAACACCGGUGGCGAAGGCGGGUCUCUGGGCCGAUACUGACGCUGAGGAGCGAAAGCGUGGGGAGCGAACAGG
rnacentral:rRNA from 1 species